AAUUUAAUGACAAAGAAUUUCGCAGAAAAUAAAGAACAGGAAGAAAAACUAAAAGUGCAUACAAUAAAUGGAUCAAUGGAAUUGAACAAAAGUGUAACCUUGCAAAAUCUUUCCUACUAAACAGAAAUUUUAUUUACAUAAAUUUUCUGAUAAUUAUGAUAUAUUGAUAGGCAGAGGUUAUUUAAAAGAAAGUAAGGCAAAAGGAAAUUAUGAGGAGGAAACAGUGAUGUUAGGAGACACGUUACUUUAUAUAAAGUAUGGAUGAUAUGGAAAAGGAUAAGACCGCAGUAAAGUGCCUUAAUCCACCAUCGUUUAAAAAGAAAAUUGAAAAGGAUAAGACCGCAUUAGAAUGCCUUAAUCCACCUUUGUCAAUUUACCAGUCAUUUAAUUUUGCCAUAAAUAAUGAAUUAAAAGAAUGUAAUGAAUACAGGUUAGAACACUUGAAUGAGAAAGAAAGAAAAGCUUAAAAAAGGUUUCAUUUGAAUUUAAUGACAUCCAGUACAAGGAAGGUGAAAAUUUGACUUUUACAAGUACUAUUAAACAUUGAAUUCAAACCAGGCAUGAAGAUCCAGUAUAUAGAAAGCCAUAUAAAUACCGUCAAACUUUUGAUGUCAAGUCAAUAAACAAAUAAAUGAAAUGAUUGAACAGGGAAUAAUUCGUAAAUCAAAAUCUCUCUAUUGUUCACCAAUCUGGAUAGUUCCAAAAAAGAACGAUGCAUCAGAAAAAAUGAAAUUCAGAUUAGUAGUAGACUACAGAAAUUUAAACGAAAUCUAGCUUAGCUAAAGGAUUCCAUCAAAUUCAAAUGGAACCAGAAUCAAUAGCUAAAACGGCAUUCUCUAAUCAAGGCCUUCAAGGAAUCAUUUUACGUGGUUUCCGAGACAAAUGAGAGGAAAACCGAGAAUCUACAAAAAUUAAUUAUUUAUUAGAAUUGCAAUUUCAAUUGGAGGAUAAAAAAAUUAUUGGCGGAAUUCACCGAAUAACACAACAGGGCUAAUCCGCAGAAGACUGCUGAAGGAAAACCACUCGAAACCCCUUGAAUAAGAGGGAAUGCUGAGUGAACAUUGCUGUACCUGUCCUCGCAAAGAAAGCAGGUUCUGGCCAAAAGCAUUUGGUUACGUUGUGCUAAUAUAAAUGUCAUUGAUGUAUUUUGGUAUGUAUGUCGAUACAGGCUAUCGAUAGGCGUAGGCAAGGCUUGUGAAUUAAUGCGGACCUACCUUCUUCGUUCCCGAUUUUGUGAUGAAAAAGUAGGUAGGAUGUGCUCCUUGUGAUCCUUGGUUUUGGUUUCGUGGGUGUUGGAUUGUUAUAUCGGUGAUAAAAUAAAGUUUGUGAUUGUGUAACGUGAAGGGCACGCGCUGCACGGGACCUGGGAAUCAAGUCCUACGCUUGGAUGUGCUUAGCAAGAACGGAUAUGGGCUUCGUUCGGUGGGUUUUCCCAAGACUCCGCGAGGCUGGUUGCGGCAAAAGCUGUAACGUGAAGCUUAACAUCACUACGGACAGUGGCGCAGCUGCUUACCAACUGCAGCAUCUGUAAUUCCAUGCCAGACCCAAGUCAAGGGUUCCACUAGACCCUCUUACAUUUCAUGUUGCUGUAAUCUUUUUUCUAUGUUUAAAAAAAAAACAUAAAAUAUUAUUUACAUGCAAGAUAACUACCGAAGCUUGAGAUUGCCUAG